GUUGACCUCGGAUCAGGUAGGGAUACCCGC
rnacentral:ncRNA from 26 species